CCUACGGGUGGCAGCAGUGGGGAAUAUUGGACAAUGGGGGGAACCCUGAUCCAGCCAUGCCGCGUGUGUGAAGAAGGCCCUCGGGUUGUAAAGCACUUUCAGUGAGGAAGAACGCCUGGUGGUUAAUACCCAUCAGGAAAGACAUCACUCACAGAAGAAGCACCGGCCAACUCCGUGCCAGCAGCCGCGGUAAUACGGAGGGUGCGAGCGUUAAUCGGAAUUACUGGGCGUAAAGCGCGCGUAGGUGGCUUGAUAAGCCGGUUGUGAAAGCCCCGGGCUCAACCUGGGAACGGCAUCCGGAACUGUCAAGCUAGAGUGCAGGAGAGGAAGGUAGAAUUCCCGGUGUAGCGGUGAAAUGCGUAGAGAUCGGGAGGAAUACCAGUGGCGAAGGCGGCCUUCUGGACUGACACUGACACUGAGGUGCGAAAGCGUGGGUAGCAAACAGGAUUAGAUACCCUGGUAGUC
rnacentral:rRNA from 1 species